rnacentral:lncRNA from 1 species
GUAUUGAACCCACCCCACUCAAGAAUAUGCACACUGCCCUUCUCCACCAGACCACUCAUCAUUAUCUGCUAUUGAGAUACUACGUUAAAUAUAUGAACCAGGCUAAAAAAUAAAAAGAUUUAAAAUAAAAAACAAAGUAAACAUUUUUAUGGUUUUUGUGUUAAAAACAAAUUAAAUUAAAUAAUAAAAGGAAAAUUAAAAAAAGAAAAAAAUAAAAUGGAAACACAGAGGUUCGUCUUCAUCGCCAUCGUCCUCCCCACCUCACGAACUCAACCUUCCCAAACUCACUCCUUCACUCUCUCUUCUCUCGGUAAUGUUCAUCAACACUCACCAAACUUCACAUUUCUCUCAAUCCCACUCUCGUUCUCAACGAACCCCUCUCAAUCACUCUCAGC